rnacentral:rRNA from 1 species
AUACUAAUGAUAAUUUAAUUUUUAAUUUUAAUUUUCAAGAAGUAUCUAUUAAUUUUAGUAUUAUUAAAGAAAUAAAUUAUUAUAAUUAUAUAUUUAACUGUGAAGGAUUUUACAAAUUUAAUUAUAAGAAAUUUUAAUUAAAUGUACCUUUUGUAUCAGGGUUUAUCAAUUUAAUAUUAAUUAUCUUUAAUUUUCCCGAAAAUUAAAGAUUUAUAUCAAAAUGAUUUUAUAAAUUUUAAAUUAUUAAUUAAUUUUGGUAUAGUGGUUAUAUGCUUUUCAAUUUAAUUAUAUCUGGUUUUUAACUAAAUAAAUUUAAUUUAAAUUAAAGUUUUAUGUAAUAUUUAUAUUUUGUUUAUAACUUUAAUUAAUUGUUAAGGGGAUAAGCUCUUAAUAAAUUUUAUAAUUUCUAAAUUUUACAACAUUUUAAUAAGGAUUAGUAUUGUCUUAUAAUUUUUAUAAAAAAGAUUGUUUAAGAUUAAUUUUUUUUAAUUUAAAAACUUAGUUUUAUUUUUCUUCAAACUGUAUAUUUUAAAAAAAAAUGAUAAAAUUAGUAAAAUUUUAUAAUCAAUUUAAGAAUUCGGCAAAUUUUGUUCUCGAAUGUUUAAUAAAAACAUUUCUUUAUGCAGUAUGAAAUAAAGUAUAACCUGCUCAAUGAAUUAUUUUAAAUAGCCGCGAUUAAAAUCGUGCGAAGGUAGCAUAAUAAUUUGUCUUUUAAUUAAGGUCUUGAAUGAAUGGUUGAACGAGGAACAAGCUUUUUUAAUUGAUUUAUUUUUAACUUUAUAUUUUAGUUAAAAAGCUAAAAUAAAUUUAUGGGACGAUAAGACCCUAUAGAAUUUUAUUAAAAUAGUUAUUUGUCAAAGUAUUUUUUUUUCUUUUAAAAUAAUUGUUUUAAUUAAGUUGGGGUGACUUUUAAAAUAAAUUAACUUUAAUUUUUACUUUAUCAUUAAUUAAUGAUUUUUUGAUCCUGUUAUAUAGAUUAUUAGAUUAAAUUACCUUAGGGAUAACAGCGUUAUUUUUCCGGAGAGUCCACAUUAAUGGGAAAGUUUGCGACCUCGAUGUUGGAUUAAAAUUAAGCUAUGGUGUAGCCUCUAUAGUUUUAAGUCUGUUCGACUUUUAAAAUUUUACAUGAUCUGAGUUAAGACCGGCGUGAGCCAGGUUGGUUUCUAUCUAUAAAUAGUAUUUAUUAUCUUAGUACGAAAGGACCAGAUAUUACAAAUAAUUUUGU